AGGGUGAGAACCCCGUGAGGCGAGGUGAUCCAGUUCUUUGUAGAGCGCUCUCGAAGAGUCGAGUUGUUUGGGAAUGCAGCUCUAAGAGGGUGGUAAAUUCCAUCUAAAGCUAAAUACAGGCGAGAGACCGAUAGCGAACAAGUACAGUGAUGGAAAGAUGAAAAGAACUUUGAAAAGAGAGUGAAAAAGGACGUGAAAUUGUUGAAAGGGAAGGGCAUUUGAUCAGACAUGGUGUUUUGUGCCCCUCGCUCCUCGUGGGUGGGGGAAUCUCGCAGCUCACUGGGCCAGCAUCAGUUUUGGCGGCAGGAGAAAUCCUCGGGAAUGUGGCUCUUGCCUCUGGUAGGAGUGUUAUAGCCCGGGGGAAUACUGCCAGCUGGGACUGAGGUAUGCGACAUUUUGUCAAGGAUGUUGGCAUAAUGGUUAUAUGCCGCCCGUC
rnacentral:rRNA from 1 species